AAUGAACGUUGGCGGCAUGGAUUAGGCAUGCAAGUCGAGCGAGAAGGGUUUUGAAGCUUGCUUUGAAACCCGGAAAGCGGCGCAAGGGAGAGUAACGAGUAGUUAUCUACCCCAAGGCACGGAAUAGCUGCGGGAAACUGCAGGUAAUGCCGGAUAAUAUCCCCGGAUCAAAGGUGUGAUUCCGCCUUGGGAGGAGACUGCUUUGUACUAGCUAGUUGGUAGGGUAAUGGCCUACCAAGGCUACGAUGCAUAGCGGGCGUGAGAGCGUGGCCCGUCUCACUGAGACUGAAACACUGCCCAGACACCUACGGGUGGCUGCAGUCGAGAAUCUUCGGCAAUGGGCGAAAGCCUGACCGAGCGAUGCCGCGUGCGGGAUGAAGUCCCUCGGGUUGUAAACCGCUGUCGUAGAGGAGAAAGGUCUGAUGAAGAAUCAGAUUUGAUCUAUUCUAGGAGGAAGUCCGGGCUAAGUUCGUGCCAGCCGCCGCGGUAA
rnacentral:rRNA from 1 species